rnacentral:rRNA from 1 species
GAUGAACGCUAGCGGCAGGCUUAAUACAUGCAAGUCAAGGGGGUAGCAAUACAACCGGCGCACGGGUGAGUAACACGUACACAACAUACCAUAUACUGAGGUAUAGCUUCGGGAAACUGAAGGUAAUCCCUCAUAGUAUUGUGAAAGGGCAUCUUUUUACAAUUAAAGUUUCGACGGUAUAUGAUUGGUGUGCGUUUGAUUAGCUAGUUGGUAGGGUAACGGCCUACCAAGGCAACGAUCAAUAGCUGGCGUGAGAGCGCGACCAGCCACACUGGAACUGAGACACGGUCCAGACUCCUACGGGAGGCAGCAGUAGGGAAUAUUGGACAAUGGGCGAAAGCCUGAUCCAGCCAUGCCGCGUGAUAGAUGAAGGCCCUCUGGGUUGUAAAUAUCUUUUAUCUGGGAAGAAACACUUCUAUUCUUAGAAGCUUGACGGUACCAGAGGAAUAAGACACCGGCUAACUACGU